CCGUUGUGGAAAAGUCAUUAAGCUCCUGUCAAAACUGCUGUAUGUGGAUGCUGUGAGACACAAGAACAGAAACUACUUUCAGAGAAGUGUGUGUGUCAUAAAUUAUACAGGUGGAGAGUUUGACCAGUGGCCUGUGGCAGAGUGUGUAUAAGUCUGAGACAGAAGGAAAUCACCUUUGGUCAGUUUGGGAGUAAAAUUUCAGCAAAACCACUUUACUAAAUCCCAGAUUCGGAAUCCAAGAUAGCUGUUUUACUGUUUUACUCAGCACGGCUGUGAUGUGGCAGUAGGUGCAAGGCCAAAGGAAAGAUUAAAAAUAUUCCAAAAGAAACCAAAGCAUCAAGUUUUGCAGCCAAGCAAUGCAUGGACCGGAUGCGAAAGGAAUGGAGUGAUAAUUUUCUCUCCAAGAGUUAUUAAAAUCAGCAAUUCUCAGACGUUUGACAGGUAUAAUCUCGAGACCCAACAAAAUAUUUUGAAAUGGAAGUAAGGUGAGAAAAUGCACAUUUGUCCUAUUUUAGUUUUUAUUUUACCUCUUAAAUAAACGAAAUUCAAGUUGCAAUACCAAACUACCAUAGGUGGAGUUUCACUUUCGGGCUACCGUGGAGCUGUGGCGCUGGAUGAUGUCACACGCUAAUUAACAUAUUCAUAACGUCAUUGCGUAGUUUUGAAGUUGUUACUUUCUACUCUCUGAACAGUCUGUAUUUAUAUAUUUAUUCAGUAACUAAUAAUUAUGUAUACAGAAUGUAUACGAACAAUAAAAAUAAUGAUACACGCUUUUGCCUACAUUACAGUGUACAUCAACUUUAAAUGGCAUUUUAUAGACUUUGUAAUU